GAACAGCUCCGUCGGUAAAGAAUGAGACUCUUAAUCUCAGGGUUGUGGGCUUGAGCCCCACAUUGGUCAACA